GAUGAAGAACGUAGCGAAAUGCGAAACUUGGUGUGAAUUGCAGAAUCCCGUGAACCAUCGAGUCUUUGAACGCAAGUUGCGCCCGAAGCCUCGGCUAAGGGCACGUCUGCCUGGGCGUCACGCAUCGCGUCUCCCCCAAACCGCCAAGGCGGAGGGGAAGGAAGAUGGCUUCCCGUGCCUCACCCGGGCGCGGUUGGCCUAAAUUUGGAGCCCGCGGCACUUAGCUCUCGCGGCGAUAGGUGGUGAACAAGGCCUUGGCCGUGCAAACAACCCGCUGCGAAGCUCUAUGUCACGUGCGCUCGUCGGACCCUUUGAAGUUGCCUUUGGUGACUUAAAACCUUUGCGACCCCAGGUCAGGCGGGGCUACCCGCUGAAUUUAAGCAUAUCAAUAAGCGGAGGA
rnacentral:misc_RNA from 1 species